AGCAGCCGCGGUAAUUCCAGCUCCAAUAGCGUGUAUUAAAGUUGUUGCAGUUAAAAAGCUCGUAGUUGAAUUUCGGGAUCAUCAGGUUGGUCGUGCCACUGGUAUGCACUGGCCUUAGUGAUUCCUCCUUCUUGAGGAACCGUAAUGCCAUUAAGUUGGUGUUGCGGGGAAACAGGACUGUUACUUUGAAAAAAUUAGAGUGUUUAAAGCAGGCUAACGCUUGAAUACAUUAGCAUGGAAUAAUGAAAUAGGACGGACGAUCCUAUUUUGUUGGUUUCUAGGAUUGACGUAAUGAUUAAUAGGGAUAGUUGGGGGCAUUAGUAUUCAAUUGUCAGAGGUGAAAUUCUUGGAUUUAUUGAAGACUGACUACUGCGAAAGCAUUUGCCAAGGAUGUUUUCAUUAAUCAAGAACGAAAGUUAGGGGAUCGAAGACGAUCAGAUACCGUCGUAGUCUUAACCAUAAACUAUGCCGACUAGGGAUCGGAUGAUGUUAAUUUUUAAUGUACUCAUUCGGCGCCUUA
rnacentral:rRNA from 1 species